GACGAACGCUGGCGGCGUGCUUAACACAUGCAAGUCGAACGGUGAAGCUCCAGCUUGCUGGAGUGGAUCAGUGGCGAACGGGUGAGUAACACGUGAGCAACCUGCCCCUGACUCUGGGAUAAGCGCUGGAAACGGCGUCUAAUACUGGAUACGAGAAGGGUCCGCAUGGGCACUUUCUGGAAAGUUCUUCGGUUGGGGAUGGGCUCGCGGCCUAUCAGCUUGUUGGUGAGGUAAUGGCUCACCAAGGCGACGACGGGUAGCCGGCCUGAGAGGGCGACCGGCCACACUGGGACUGAGACACGGCCCAGACUCCUACGGGAGGCAGCAGUGGGGAAUAUUGCACAAUGGGCGAAAGCCUGAUGCAGCGACGCCGCGUGAGGGAUGACGGCCUUCGGGUUGUAAACCUCUUUCAGCAGGGAAGAAGCGAAAGUGACGGUACCUGCAGAAGAAGCACCGGCUAACUACGUG
rnacentral:rRNA from 1 species